UUUUCUUUCAUUUCCUUGGGUGAAACCGAGAAAAUCGAGAAAGAGAGAGGAAGAAAGAAGAAGAAGAAGAAGAAGAAGAAGAAGAAGAAGUGGGUUUUCAAUUUUGGGGUGCUCCAUUUCUUCAAUUUCUCAUUUGAUUUUGAGAGGUAAGUGUAAGUAUAUUGAGUUAAGUUUUCUUUUAGGGUUUAUGGAAAAUUUGGUCAUAUUCGAAGUUAGCUAGAAUUAGAGGUUAUUGAUAUUUAUUUGAGGUAUUAAACAUGAAUAUGUUAAAAAAUAUAUAUGUAUUGAAAGAUUGGUGUUGGAAAAAAAAAAAAGAAAAGAAAAGGAGGGAAACUUUGAAAAUGAGUUUGUGAAAUAGGUGCUUAUUCUUUGAGUUUCUUUGGAUUAUGUGAUGUUAAUCACUUAAAUUAUGGAAUUGGGGUUGAUUUCUCCAUUUUUAGGUAAUAAUUAUAAGCAAUUUUUGGACAAAUCCUACACAGGCGCUGCUUUUGAAAUUCUGCCCAGAAAAGUGCUAGUUUUGUCAAUGUUUUUGGUGACAGAUGUCAAUAAAUAGACAUUGGUGCUAGCAUUCAAUAUUUUGGAAUUAUAGUGCUAGUUUUGUCAAUCAUCUAAUUUUCUUGGAUUUCUAGUAUUUUAACCAAAUUAAGUGUUAAUUAUUUGGAGUUUUGGUGUUUAAAUAAUUUAUAAAGGAGUAUAUGUUGUUAGUGACUUUAAUUGGGAUUACGAGGUUGAAAAUAAAAUAUAUCAUGUUCCCAUUGGUAAAUUAAUAUUUCAAAUGGUAGGAAAAUACUCAAGGCAUCUUGGUAAGGGAAUAUGAUUUACUAGAGCGAGUGCGUAAUAUCAUACUUGAUAUUUGAAGUUGAAGCGGUGACAAAAGAUUGAAACCAUGGUCGACUAUUACUUGGUGAGUGGAUAAAACUUAUUUUUCAGAAAUAAGUCUUCUUUAAAUUUUAAAGUUAUUUAUUUUAUAAAGUUGACUUCAUAGCAUGAUUUUCAGAAUAAAAUGAAUUUUUUCAUCAAUUGCUUUUAAAGUUAAAUUCAGUUUAGUUAAAUUAUUUUAGUAACAUGUAUUAUAUUUUUAUUACAUGUUUCAGUAUAGUUAAAGUUAUUUCUAAAAAUCACUAAAAAGUACCCAGGUGAUUUUACCCGAGUUUGCACUGAUGUGAAUGUGUUUCCACAGUGUAUGACUAGUUAGUGAUUUUACUCGCUCUGCACUAUCGUGAAUGUGUUUCCAUAGUGUAUGACCAGAUUAUCAGAGGUUUUUGGGACCCACUCUCGUACACACAUAGGCUUUGAGCCGUGUACUAGGGUGAUUAGCCUUUGGGGCAACUCUGCGUACGUAUGACCAGAUUAUCAGCUAUCAGAUUAUCAGAUUUGAAUGGCUUUGCCUUAUACAUCGAGAUUACUCUGUACAUGUGUAAGGCUAUUCAUUGGAUACUCUUUAUGGUGUGAUUUUUCAGUACUUAUUUAGUUCUCAGAUUUCAGAUUAUGGAAUUUAGUUAAUUCAGUUUUCAGAAUAAAGCUUUCAGCUUCUAGUAUUGAGCAGCAGCAAUAUUUCAUAGAUUUUCAUGAAUAUCAGAUUCUUUAUAAUUGUUAUACCUUACAGAUGCUUAUCUAGAAUUUAGAACAAAGAAUUUUAUGAUGAAAUUAUGUUUAGUUUUAAAAGUGUUACCAGAUUUCAGAAUUUCUCAAAGUUUUGAUAGAGCAAGAAUUUUCAGAAUAUAUGCAUAAAAAAAAAUAUGUUUAUUUGUAAAUUAUCCACUCACAUAACUUUAAGCUCAUAUAUUUUUUCACCUUUUUCUUUAUCAGACAGAAAACAGACAAAUUGAGCAGCUUUGGAGCAUGUCGAACUACCGAAUUGAGCCACGCAUCAUAAGUUGUAUGACAUCUUUUAUCAGAUUAUACAUUGUGUUCUUUUGGGAUACACAUAGGUUAAAUCAGAAAAGUUCAUUAUGGGCUCAUUAGACAUUUGGUAUCUUUAGUACUUUUAAAGAUUAUUGGUUGUAAAGCAAGUAAAUAUUGAUUUCCUAGCAUUUUAUUUGAAUAGUUUGUAUUUUUGAGGGACUCGCAUAUCCUGAUUUAUAUUAUAGGUAUUGAUUUGAGGAAAAUUAGUUAUUGUUCAGGUGGUUUUAGUUCGUAUUUUAGAGGAAAUUCUGUCAAAAUUUUGUUAAAAAUAUUUUUCAGUCAAGCAAGUCAAAGUUGCCUUGGUUGUGGGUCCGGCAUUUAACUGGCAUCUACCAUCGGUGCACGACACGUGUCGAGUCAAUUAGGUUGAGUCAGGUCGGGUCAUAUCAGUUAUCAUUCCGCGUGUUAAUAUAAAAUACAAACAUAUACUGUGGAUUAAUUAGGGUUGCUUACUGCUGAUGUCUUCCAUGAAAAUUUCUAGGUUUAUUUGGAGAGACUUUCGUGGAAACCAGAAAUUGAUGCUUUUGUUGAAGAAUUGAAACCACGUCAGGUUGCCUUCUGUCUUACUUUAAAGAUUUACACGAUCUUAGCUUUUGUUUAUAUGAUAUGUUCUAAUUGUUUGGUUUGUCAUUUGACUAUAUGACUAUCUGGUACAAUGGAGAGGAUAUGAAUUUUGAUGGUCAUGUUGACAGUUUGUCGCUCGAAGUUGCAUUACAUGAUAAGCAUUUGGAGCCAAAUCAAGCACAUUUAGGCCAUGUAGCGAUGUCGUUAAAGAGGUAGUUAAGUCGAGGACAAACCAAGUUUUAUCAUAGAUAUGGGAAUUUUUGGUAAUAUUAUGUGCCUUAUAAUAUUCAAAUCUGCACCUGAAUGCAUGGCGGGUGUUAGUUUUGUCCAACAUGUCCUUUGUUAACCAUUUAAGUUGUUUGAGAACUUGAUGUAUGUUUAAGUAAAAUUUGGAUUUACUACGAAUGACCUGAUGUAAAAAGCUUUGUAUGGUAUGAAGUUUGGUUAUUUUCUUAGUGAUGAGAUGCGUUACAAUAUGGUUUUAUUUUGUUAGCUGUUUAAGAGCAUGAAGUUUGGUUAUUAGUCAAUUCUAGGAAUUCCUGGGCAGGGUCUUCUUUCUUUUUUAUUUUCUCACAUUUUUCUUUCUUUCUUUUUCUCUUCAUUUUCUUUCCAUUUUUCUUGGCAUUUUGAAAGUGAAAUCAAAAGCACAAGGAGAAUCUAUCUAAGAUUAUGGAUAAAUAUUUGAGAAAGUCAUAGCCAAGAUUCAAAAGGGUUAUAUCAAUAACUUUGUAUUUUCUCAAUUAUUUUGUCAUAUUUGUAAUGAAUUGUGUAAAAUAUUCUCCUUUUCAUCAUUUGUAUACAAUGGGCUAAGUUAU
rnacentral:lncRNA from 1 species